UCAGUUUAAAAGCUCAGUGUUUCCCAUUGCUGGUCGCUGGUUCCUCCCGUUCACUACCCUCUUGUGUUUUCUGCUGGCUUUAUAUUUCUUCUUUGGAAAACUCAUCAGCUGCAAGUCAUCAGGGCUAAUCAGGAAGAGCUUUAGGAUGAGUGAACUCUGUGGGAAGGAUGCUAGACUGCUCUACACCUCUGUGUGGAAUCCAUUCCAGAGACCCGCUCCAGCAUUCUGCCUCCUUGCUCCUAAGCCUCUGGAGAAGAUUACCUUGGCUUCCUUCUCCGGUCAUCCCGCAGCUCCUCCGCUCAUCCUCUCCUUGGAAGCUCUUCCAAAACUGCUGCUACCGCGCCCUUACCUGCCUGUCCACCCUUGUGCACGUGGCUCCGCUGCAGCCUGUCCUGGAGAUAUCGGACUACCAAUUUGCACUGGCUGUCAACCUCAGCUCCGUGGAUCGACUCCCUUUCCCCUGGAUCUCCACCCUUCUCCAGAUCAUGACCACUGGAAUCAGCCAGAAGCCUCAGUACUCCCAUCUUUUCUAUCAACAAAUAAAUCCUUGAAACUUU